AUGGGAAGGGCAAUGGGGGCGGCGCUCGUGCUGGCGGUCCUGGCCGUCGCGGCGGCCACGGCCGGGGCUGUUGACGGAGAUGUCAAGUGCGCUGAGUGCGGCACGGGCACGGUGCCGGUGCUGCCGCCGCCGCCGCCGUACUACUACUACAGCCCUCCACCUCCGGCGUCCUACUCCGGUGUGUCCAACUGCCCGCCACCACCAGGGGGAUACAUCCAGAUCGGCGGCUCGGGGCCGGGAAAAGGGCGCAUGUACCCGCAGGACCCCGGGUUCAUGCCGUCCAGCGCGCCGCCCAGGCAUGGGAGCAGCGCCGUCCACAUCACGGUAUGUUCGUUUGCGGCGUUGGCGGUUCUACGGGCCUUUUGGUGA
rnacentral:rRNA from 1 species